rnacentral:rRNA from 1 species
UACGGGGGGGGCAAGCGUUGUUCGGAAUUACUGGGCGUAAAGGGUUUGUAGGUGGCUUGCUAAGUCAGACGCGAAAUCCCUCAGCUUAACUGGGGAGCUGCGUCUGAGACUGGCAAGCUUGAGUGCAGGAGAGGAACGCGGAAUUCCAGGUGUAGCGGUGAAAUGCGUAGAUAUCAGGAGGAACACCCGUGGUGCAGACGGCUUGCUGGACCUCCACUGACGCUGAGGCACGAAAGCGUGGGGAGCAAACGGG